CUACGGGGGAUGCAAGCGUUAUUCGGAAUCAUUGGGCGUAAAGGGCACGCAGGCGGUUCUGUCAGUCAGAUGUGAAAGCCCGGGGCUUAACCCCGGACGUGCAUUUGAAACAGCAGGACUUGAGUAUGGUAGAGGAAAGCGGAAUUCCUGGUGUAGAGGUGAAAUUCGUAGAUAUCAGGAGGAACACCGGUGGCGAAGGCGGCUUUCUGGACCAAAACUGACGCUGAGGUGCGAAGGCGUGGGUAGCGAACAGGAUUAGAAACCCUAGUAGUCC
rnacentral:rRNA from 1 species